GACGAAUGCUGGCGGCGUGCUUAACACAUGCAAGUCGAACGGUAAGGCUCCAGCUUGCUGGGGUACACGAGUGGCGAACGGGUGAGUAACACGUGGGUGACCUGCCCUGCACUUCGGGAUAAGCCUGGGAAACUGGGUCUAAUACCGGAUAGGACCGCACCGUGAGGGUGUGGUGGAAAGUUUUUUCGGUGUGGGAUGGGCCCGCGGCCUAUCAGCUUGUUGGUGGGGUAAUGGCCUACCAAGGCGGCGACGGGUAGCCGGCCUGAGAGGGUGGACGGCCACAUUGGGACUGGGACACGGCCCAGACUCCUACGGGAGGCAGCAGUGGGGAAUAUUGCACAAUGGGCGGAAGCCUGAUGCAGCGACGCCGCGUGGGGGAUGACGGCCUUCGGGUUGUAAACUCCUUUCACCAUCGACGAAGGGUUUCUGACGGUAGAUGAAGAAGAAGCACCGGCUAACUACCUUGCAGCAGCCGCGGGUAUACGUAGGGUGCGAGCGUUGUCCGGAAUACUGGGCGUAAGAGCUCGUAGGUGGUUUGUCGCGUCGUCUGUGAAAUUCCGGGGCUUAAUUCCGGGCGUGCAUGCGAUACGGGCAUAACUUGAGUACUGUAAGGGAGACUGAAAUUCCUGGUGUAGCGGUGAAAUGCGCAAAUAUCAGGAGGAACACCGGUGGCGAAGGCGGUUCUCUGGGCAGUAACUGACGCUGAGGAGCGAAAGCAUGGGGAGCGAACAGGAUUAGAUACCCUGGUAGUCCAUGCCAAAAACGGUGGGCGCUAGGUGUGGGUUUCCCUCCACGGGAUCCGUGCCGUAACUAACGCAUUAUACGCCCCGCCUGGGGAGUACGGCCGCAAGGCUAAAACUCAAAGGAAUUGACCGCGGCCCGCACAAGCGGCGGAGCAUGUUUAUUAAUUCCAUGCAACGCGAACAACCUUACCUGUGCUUGACAUAUACACGAUCGCGCCAGAGAUGGUGUUUCCCUUGUGGCUUGUAUACAGGUGGUGCAUGGUUGUCGUCAGCUCGUGUCGUGAGAUGUUGGGUUAAGUCCCGCAACGAGCGCAACCCUUGUCUUAUGUUGCCAGCACGUUGUGGUGGGGACUCGUAAGAAACUGCCGGGGUUAACUCGGAGGAAGGUGGGGAUGACGUCAAAUCAUCAUGCCCCUUAUGUCCAGGGCUUCACACAUGCUACAAUGGUCGGUACAGUGGGUUGCCAGUCCGUGAGGGCGAGCUAAUCCCGCAAAGCCGGUCUCAGUUCGGAUCGGGGUCUGCAACUCGACCCCGUGAAGUCGGAGUCGCUAGUAAUCGCAGAUCAGCAACGCUGCGGUGAAUACGUUCCCGGGCCU
rnacentral:rRNA from 1 species